GGCCGCAAGGUUAAAACUCAAAUGAAUUGACGGGGGCCCGCACAAGCGGUGGAGCAUGUGGUUUAAUUCGAUGCAACGCGAAGAACCUUACCUGGUCUUGACAUCCACAGAACUUUCCAGAGAUGGACUGGUGCCUUCGGGAACUGUGAGACAGGUGCUGCAUGGCUGUCGUCAGCUCGUGUUGUGAAAUGUUGGGUUAAGUCCCGCAACGAGCGCAACCCUUAUCCUUUGUUGCCAGCG
rnacentral:rRNA from 3 species